GGAAUAUUUUUACCACCAUAAGGAUUUCUCAUUCUGUUGUUUUAUGGCUACACUUAUUUCUCUCCAGUCCUUCACACUUUCACAUACUGCUGUUUGUAGAAAAGAUUUGCUGAUCCCUGGACCAAACAGUCAAAUUAAAGAGGAGAGAUUAACAGAUUGGAUUAAAAGAAAAACCCAACCAUGUGCUAUCUACCUUUGAUAAAGAGAAAUGGACUGAGAUGAAAAGAAUGGAUGAAGAAAUAUCAUACAAAAAGUAACCACAGGUGAUUGGAAUGACUUUGAUAACAUAGAGCCAUGUGGAUUCUAGGAGUAGUCAGAUACUAAGAAUUAGACUGAAUAAAGAAAUCUGAAUGUGC